CCCCCCCCCCCCCACUUAUCGAGCUGGCUACGCCACUGCCCUAAGCCUAUAGGUCUCGUUUUCCCACACAUUAUAUCCAGGCAUUAUGCUAUGUUUGUAGUGAUAACUAAGGCUUUUCAAAAGGCAGUUGAAAUUUUUAAUAACCGAAAACCUGUAGACGCUCAGAAAUGCCAAGAUUGUAUGUGAUAAACCUUUUUUUCUUAUUAUGAAAUGUCACUCGCCCCAGGUUUCGAAGUGAAGCAGCGCAAAUUAUUAAGUACGGCUCAUGUAUGAAAAGCACGCCUGUCUAAAUCAAAAUUGGAAGUACGCAUAUUUUACUCGAGUAAAAUAUGAAUUAAGUUCGGCUCAUGAAAAGCACGGCGUCUAAACCGGGC